rnacentral:lncRNA from 1 species
UGGCCAUAUUCUGGAGCAGCUCGAUUGACUUGAUCAAUUAAUUCGUUGAUCGAAUCCACUGAAUACUUUCGUACGUCCUGACGUCCUGUGCACUGGUCUGGUUCACGAACGACUCGAACUGAAAUGAUUCUUUGAAUCCUUUGCUUGAUAAUAUACUUGAUCAGUCAUUCCGGGUUAGGUGUUGCUUCGAUAAAUUUGAUUAUAAAUAAUCAAAUUAAAUAUACUGGAAUCUUCUGGUCUUUGAUACUUGAUCUUCAGGCAAUCUUGAUAGCAGAAAC